GACGAACGCUGGCGGCGUGCCUAACACAUGCAAGUUGAGCGACGAACCAGGGCUUGCCCUGGGGCAAAGCAGCGAACGGGUGAGUAACACGUGGGUAACCUACCCCGAUAACCGGGACAACCCGAGGAAACUCGGGCUAAUACCGGAUGUGCUCACUGGACUUCGGUUCAGUGCGUAAAGGAAGCUUCGACCUCCGUAUCGGGAGGGGCCCGCGGCCCAUUAGUUUGUUGGUGAGGUAACGGCUCACCAAGACCGCGAUGGGUAGCUGGUCUGAGAGGACGAUCAGCCACACUGGGACUGAGACACGGCCCAGACUCCUACGGGAGGCAGCAGUGGGGAAUCUUGCGCAAUGCGCGAAAGCGUGACGCAGCAACGCCGCGUGGGGGAAGAAGGCCUUCGGGUUGUAAACCCCUUUCAGGAGGGACGAAGGUUCGGCGGUGAAUAGCCGUCCGGACUGACGGUACCUCCACAAGAAGCCCCGGCUAACUACGUG
rnacentral:rRNA from 1 species